rnacentral:rRNA from 1 species
GACGAACGCUGGCGGCGUGCUUAACACAUGCAAGUCGAACGAAGUGGCGAACGUGUGAGUAACGCGUAAUCAACCUGCCCUUCAGAGGGGGACAACCGUUGGACACGAGUGCUAAUCCCGCAUACUGACGGAGGGGAUUGCGUCUGAUUAGCUAGUUGGGGGGGAAACGGCCCACCAAGGCGAUGGUCAGUAGGCCGUCCGGGGGGAUGAACGGCCAACAUGGGACUGGGACAAGGGCCAGGAUCCGACGGGAGGGAGCAGUGGGGGAUCCUCCGCAAAGGAGGAAAGGCUGACUGAGCAAAGCCGCGGGAGUGAUGACGGCUUUCGGGUUGGAAAGCUCGGUUAAUCGGGGAGCGGUACCGGAACAGAAAGCCACGGCUAACUACGUGCCAGCAGCCGCGGUAAUUC